UACGUAGGGUGCGAGCGUUAAUCGGAAUUACUGGGCGUAAAGCGUGUGCAGGCGGUCUGUUAAGACAGGUGUGAAAUCCCCGGGCUUAACCUGGGAAUUGCGCUUGUUACUGGCAGACUAGAGUGCGUCAGAGGGAGGUGGAAUUCCACGUGUAGCAGUGAAAUGCGUAGAGAUCAUGAGGAAGACCAGUGGCGAAGGCGGGUCUCUGGACAGUUCCUGACACUGAGACACGAAGGCCAGGGGAGCAAACGGG
rnacentral:rRNA from 1 species